rnacentral:snRNA from 1 species
CGAGAGUUCGAGCCUCUCUCA